GGGCACGACACCGGAGAGGGAGCCUGAGAAACGGCUACCACAUCCAAGGAAGGCAGCAGGCGCGCAAAUUACCCAAUCCCGACACGGGGAGGUAGUGACAAUAAAUAACAAUACAGGGUUCUUUUGGAUCUUGUAAUUGGAAUGAGUACAAUUUAAAUCUCUUAACGAGGAACAAUUGGAGGGCAAGUCUGGUGCCAGCAGCCGCGGUAAUUCCAGCUCCAAUAGCGUAUAUUAAAGUUGUUGCAGUUAAAAAGCUCGUAGUUGAAUUUCGGGAUCAAUGUUUCGGUCAUGCCGUUGGUAUGUACUGAUAUUAUUGAUUUCUCACCUUCUAAAGAACCGUAAUGCCAUUAAUUUGGUGUCACGGGGAAUUAGGACUGUUACCUUGAAAAAAUUAGAGUGUUUAAAGCAGGCUCACGCUUGAAUACAUUAGCAUGGAAUAAUGAAAUAGGACAUCCGAUUCUAUUUUGUUGGUUUCUAGGAUCGAUGUAAUGAUUAAUAGGGAUAGUUGGGGGCAUUAGUAUUCAAUUGUCAGAGGUGAAAUUCUUGGAUUUAUUGAAGACUAACUACUGCGAAAGCAUUUGCCAAGGAUGUUUUCAUUAAUCAAGAACGAAAGUUAGGGGAUCGAAGACGAUCAGAUACCGUCGUA
rnacentral:rRNA from 1 species